rnacentral:rRNA from 1 species
UGGCGACCGGCGCACGGGUGAGUAACACGUAUCCAACCUGCCUCAUACUCGGGGAUAGCCUUUCGAAAGAAAGAUUAAUACCCGAUGUUAUAGUCCUACAGCAUGAUGGGAUUAUUAAAGAAUUUCGGUAUGGGAUGGGCAUGCGGCGCAUUAGGUAGUUGGUGGGGCAACGGCCCACCAAGCCGACGAUGCGUAGGGGUUCUGAGAGGAAGGUCCCCCACAUUGGAACUGAGACACGGUCCAAACUCCUACGGGAGGCAGCAG